rnacentral:rRNA from 1 species
UACAGAGGUCUCAAGCGUUGUUCGGGUUCAUUGGGCGUAAAGGGUGCGUAGGUGGCGGGGUAAGUCAGGUGUGAAAUCUCGGGGCUCAACCCCGAAACUGCAUUUGAUACUGCCUUGCUCGAGUACUGGAGAGGAGAUUGGAAUUUACGGUGUAGCAGUGAAAUGCGUAGAUAUCGUAAGGAAGACCAGUGGCGAAGGCGAAUCUCUGGACAGUUACUGACACUGAGGCACGAAGGCCAGGGGAGCAAACGGG